rnacentral:rRNA from 1 species
UACGUAGGUGGCAAGCGUUGUCCGGAAUCAUUGGGCGUAAAGCGCGUGUAGGCGGCCAGAAAAGUCCGCUGUGAAAAACUCGAGGCUCAACUUCGAGCUGUCGGUGGAAACUUUCUGGCUAGAGUCCGGAAGAGGAGAAUGGAAUUCCUGGUGUAGCGGUGAAAUGCGCAGAUAUCAGGAAGAACACCCGUGGCGAAGGCGGUUCUCUGGGACGGUACUGACGCUGAGACGCGAAAGCGUGGGGGAGCGAACAGG